AUGGCGUCCCCAGCAUUGCUGCUGCUGAUGUUGAUGAUGAUGUCAUCACUGACCCUCAAGCCCUCGGCUGCAGGCAAGACUGCAGAGAAAAUCGCACAUAUAGCUGCAAAGCCAUUCAAAAUGCUACUAGACAAUCCGGAAAUCCUGACAUCAUUUCUCGAUUUAAUCGAAGACUAUGGUGGCGCAGUUGCUGGAGCUGCGACCGGCAUAAUAAAAACAGCGGUAGGGAACCCUGACUUUAAGAAACUCAUGCAAAAAAUGCAAAGCAUACAACGCGCUCUAACGGAAGUAAAAUCAUGUAUUCGUGUAGAACAAGCAAAACAUAUGUAUGGCGAAAUAGAACUAUCCAUCAAUAAUGCCUGGGUAGAACAUGAGCGCUUCAGAGACUAUAGUAAAACAUUAAAGAACGUACCAGAAGAUCAAAUGGAGAAACAUUUUAAAGCCAUCUCGAUAGGUGAAACUGACCUGUAUUCCCUAUUUUCAUUAAUUCAAAGGAAAGAGUCAUUUAUUGAGAGAGUUUACAACACCAUUGUUGAAGAGACUCGUUGUCAUGAGGAAAGGAUAGCUACUAUAGAAGGCCAUGUCAAUCAACUCAUGUUCAAACGCCUUUUCAUGAAUAUACACUUGUAUCGAUAUAAUAAUGAUGAUUAUAGCAAAACAAAGAUUGUUUCUAACGUGCAAUACUACUACCAUGGCGUAAUGGAUCUCCAUAAAGCCCUGCUGUUGAAAUGCUUUGAUACAGACACAACGUACAUCAAGCAAGAUUUUGAUUAUAAGUUGUACAAUGCAGAACACACUAAACCUAGAAAGAUGGCUAAGGCCAUCAGGGAGUAUUUGUCAGAAAAGCAUUUCAGGUAUGACUGGAUGGUGAUUGUGUACGAGACAGACAAUAACGUGUUGACACAUAUUACGAAACAUGUCCUCUCCAAAGAGUUCAUUGUGAGAACUGGACCAGCACUGACUGUAGCUGCAGCUCGGCAGCUUAAAGGCUCUCACACUAAGGUUCCAAAUAUUAAAUCGGAAAUUGAAGGCUGUCUAAAGCGGGAUUUACGUUUUAUACUUCGAUGCAAUAGUCUGCAGGAGAAAUUAGGAGCGUGUAAAUUAUUGGUGAAAAUCACCGGGAUUCAUUACUAUAGAUUCACGAGCAACAGUGAUUCUGAGGAAACAAAUAGAAAGGCUGAAAGUGCUCCGGAAGGUACAGAUCCGACUGAGCCUGAGGAGUCUUACGAAUACAGGGGGAGAUGUGACGCCUGGUCCCACUUUAGGGUGAUGAUAAAGAGUGACGAGGAGCUCCUGAACGCUGAUCCCUGCGACUCGUCACCGUGUCAGAAUGGGAGCAAGUGUAAGAAUCUGUUAGCUGUGAUUGUAUGUGAGUGUGUGUACCCGUACUUUGGAAACACAUGUGAGGAGGUGGUAAAGUACCCUGAGAAGGCCUUGGAGAAAACAAUGAACAAUUUGGUUGAGGCUCUGGAUCUCCAGUAA
rnacentral:lncRNA from 1 species